UGAAACCAGUUCUUUUGAGGAUAUGCAAACCUUUUGAAGCUGCGCAAGCUGGAACACAAUCGAGCUCUCCCUCUCUUUGCUGUACUAUCGAUGCAGAACUACUGCAACAGAAGUAAGCUAAUUUCAUAAAAGCAAGCAGCUAUAACGUCAAAUAUUGUUAUUAAUUAUUUGUGUUCAGUUGUGCACACAUAUGGAACAGAUCUACUGAGUAAGAAUGGGACAUUUUUGCAGUUACUUUUCAAAGCACAAUUACACAGAAAAAUCCUCGGAUGAAAUAAUACAAGAGGGGAAAAGGAUGUCCCUAAACUAACCAAUGAAGUGGGUAUCUAUAUAGAUAAUAAUUUGAUUUAAGUCAGUAGCCCUGAUCUUAUCUAUCACCUCUGGAAGAAAAGUGAUGCGUUUCUCUAAUCGGCAGAAUAGUUCCCAGGACAGGAAGGAAGAGGAUUUAUCGACACCCACACAAAAAUACACCAUAGCACUUUGUGGGCUGACUGCUUUUUAAAAAAAGCAGUCUUGACCCAUAUGGUGGAAAAGGGUAAAAGGUGGCAUCUGGAGGAGAGGA